CCCUACGGAGGCAGCAGUGGGGAAUAUUGCACAAUGGGCGAAAGCCUGAUGCAGCGACGCCGCGUGAGGGAUGACGGCCUUCGGGUUGUAAACCUCUUUCAGCAGGGAAGAAGCGAAAGUGACGGUACCUGCAGAAGAAGCGCCGGCUAACUACGUGCCAGCAGCCGCGGUAAUACGUAGGGCGCGAGCGUUGUCCGGAAUUAUUGGGCGUAAAGAGCUCGUAGGCGGCUUGUCACGUCGGUUGUGAAAGCCCGGGGCUUAACCCCGGGUCUGCAGUCGAUACGGGCAGGCUAGAGUUCGGUAGGGGAGAUCGGAAUUCCUGGUGUAGCGGUGAAAUGCGCAGAUAUCAGGAGGAACACCGGUGGCGAAGGCGGAUCUCUGGGCCGAUACUGACGCUGAGGAGCGAAAGCGUGGGGAGCGAACAGGAUUAGAUACCCUGGUAGUCCACGCCGUAAACGGUGGGCACUAGGUGUGGGCAACAUUCCACGUUGUCCGUGCCGCAGCUAACGCAUUAAGUGCCCCGCCUGGGGAGUACGGCCGCAAGGCUAAAACUCAAAGGAAUUGACG
rnacentral:rRNA from 1 species